AUUGAACGCUGGCGGCAUGCCUUACACAUGUAAGUCGAACGGCAGCGGACCUUCGGGUGCCGGCGAGUGGCGAACGGGUGAGUAAUAUAUCGGAACGUACCUUUCAGUGGGGGAUAACGUAGCGAAAGUUACGCUAAUACCGCAUAUUCUGUGAGCAGGAAAGCAGGGGAUCGCAAGACCUUGCGCUGAUUGAGCGGCCGAUAUCAGAUUAGCUAGUUGGUGAGGUAAAGGCUCACCAAGGCGACGAUCUGUAGCGGGUCUGAGAGGAUGAUCCGCCACACUGGAACCGAGACACGGUCCAGACUCCUACGGGAGGCAGCAGUGGGGAAUUUUGGACAAUGGGCGCAAGCCUGAUCCAGCCAUGCCGCGUGAGUGAAGAAGGCCUCGG
rnacentral:rRNA from 1 species